AGUGAACGCUGGCGGUAGGCCUAACACAUGCAAGUCGAACGGCAGCACAGUAAGAGCUUGCUCUUACGGGUGGCGAGUGGCGGACGGGUGAGGAAUACAUCGGAAUCUACUUUUUCGUGGGGGAUAACGUAGGGAAACUUACGCUAAUACCGCAUACGACCUACGGGUGAAAGCAGGGGAUCUUCGGACCUUGCGCGAUUGAAUGAGCCGAUGUCGGAUUAGCUAGUUGGCGGGGUAAAGGCCCACCAAGGCGACGAUCCGUAGCUGGUCUGAGAGGAUGAUCAGCCACACUGGAACUGAGACACGGUCCAGACUCCGACGGGAGGGAGCAGUGGGGAAUAUUGGACAAUGGGCGCAAGCCUGAUGCAGGCAUACCGCGUGGGUGAAGAAGGCCUGCGGGUUGUAAAGCCCUUUGGUUGGGAGGGAAAAGCGGCAGGUUAGUGCCCCGGUGUUCUGACGGUAGCGAAAGAGUGAGCACGGGCUAGCUUCGUG
rnacentral:rRNA from 1 species